rnacentral:tRNA from 2 species
GUCCGACUAGCUCAGCCCGGUAGAGCACCCGCCCGACACGCGGGAGGUUUCGCUGGUUCAAAUCCAGCGUCGGACA